AGUGCUGCUCGGGGCUCAGCCUCUGCAGCUUCUUUUCCUGGCCCGGGCAACCUUGGGCAAAGAGCCUCAGUUUCCCCCUGGGUCCUGAGGCCCGAGCCUCUGUCUUGGGUGGAAAAAGUCACUCCGGGGCAGUUCCAGCUCUGAAAGUAGUUUGACAUGCUGGCAGCUACUUUUAUACAGCCUCUCUUGGAGUGUAUCGUGCCUGGCUUUUAGUGGAACAUUAUUUGUGGUGCUGGAGACAGACCCAGAGCCCACCGGAUGCUGAAACAGAUGCUGCGCUCCAGGGGCACUCUGGCCCUGUGGGGACCUUGCUGACUCUUAGAGGCUUCCGGACCCCCUCCUCUGUUCUCUCCAGUGUCCUCCUGGAGCACCUUCUGCUCCCUGCCUGGAGCCCAAGAGGAUCUCAGACGUGACUCCUCUGAUUCAGCAGUCUCAGGGCCUGGAACAGCCUGGAGGAAAAACUGGGGCCGGGGCAGGAGGAAUCUGAGAUGGCCUAGUAAAAACACCGUGAGCUGGAGCCCAGCCAAACCAAACAUCCUGGAAUUAAAAAAAAUAAACAUGGGAGAAAGAGAG